rnacentral:sRNA from 1 species
GGAUGUGAUGGUGAUCUGUCUGCAGCAUCUGUCAUCCCGUCGAUCACUAUGUUUGGCCCAUCUGAUCUGGCUGGCUACCUGGAUGUCUCCUUCCUCACUCAGCACUCCAUGUGCAUCCCUCUUUAUUUUUACAUUUACCUCUUACUUUCCUCCAAGGAGUUCAAGGAGCAGACAUGUAUCUCCUCUCCGUUUCAGUGGCACAAGAACCUGUGAGAUCAGCAAUUUCCCUCACUUUGCACCGUCAGGGGCUUAGAUAUUUUGAUCGUUUGGUGAAGAUAAAGGCUUUAUAAAAGCAUUUACAAAAUGCUUCUUCAUUGCUUUGCAUUUAAGAAUAUUGUC